rnacentral:misc_RNA from 1 species
GCAAUGGAAGGUCAGACUUGGCGGCUGGAAGUUUAAUCCACACGGCCGAGCCCCCGACUAUACCUCCCGCCAAGGCGCUCGCCACGAUCAGCAUCACUCUCCAAGGAACGCGCUUGCGCUGGAAAGGCGACACAGCGUGAUCAGUUUCGGCAAUCGCCUCCGGAUUCAAACUCCUCCUUCAGAUCUUGAAGGAUAACCUUGAGGUCUGCCAUAGUCUGAAAACGCCGUUCGGGGUCUUUCCGCAGACAGCGAGUGAUGAUCUUCUCCAAAUCGUGCGGAAGAGUUUGCGAGAUUUCACUGGCAGGUUUCGGCUCCUUGUUCAGGACUGCCGCCAGGGUGGACAUCUUCGAGUCGCCCUGAAACGCCUGCUGUCCAGUGACCAUCUCGUACAGCACCGAACCGAAACUGAAAAUGUCGGAGCGCGCGUCCACAGGCUUUCCUGGAGCUUGCUCCGGGGACAUAUACGAGGCGGUGCCCAAGAUUGUGCUUCAUCUGUCCAAGGUGGGAUUGACCGUGUCGACUCAUCUUCCCCGAGCUGCGGCCUUUCGGUCAGCUUCGCCAGACCGAAGUCGAGAACUUUCACCAAGCCGCCUUCGCCAACCAUGAUGUUUCCCGGCUUGAGGUCGCGAUGAAUGAUCCCAGCAGCCUGCGCUUUCGCCAGCGCAUCUGCGAUCUGGAUGGCAUACUUCAGAACCUCGUUCAACUUCAUCCCACUGCGUGGAAUCAGCUCGCCAAGCGUCUUGCCUUGGACGUAUUCCAUGACAAUGAAAUCGAUGCCGUUGUCGGUGGCGAUGUCGUGUAUGGUGAUGAUGUUGGGAUGAUUGAGGGCCGAGGCUGCUUUGGCUUCCUGUACAAACCGCCUUUUGCGAACUGGAUCUGACACGAGUUCCGCGGGAAGCACCUUGGUGGCAACGAAGCGGUCCAGAUGUUGGUCGCGUGCCUUGUAGACAAUUCCCAUCCCUCCUUCACCGAGACGAGAAAGGAUUUGGUAGUGACUCAAACGCUGUCCCAACAACUCUGCAGAGAAUCCGACGAUUUCUGCAUGGCAACUGGGGUGCAGGUGAACUCAGUUGAUUUCCUGCUCGCUCGUGAGCUGCAAGCAGCGACUCCACUUCGCGGCGCAAUUCUUCAUCGCCGGCACAGGUGUCGUCUAGAAACGCCCGCCUCCGGCUGGGCUCGCGCUCCAAGGCCUUCUUUAAGAGUUUGUCAAUUUGCUGCCAGCGUUCAGGAGUCAUUGAAACAGUGAUGGGUGAAUUGUUGCGAUUGAUUCUACUUUCGUGGUGUCAACUUCGCCACGAAAAACAAGACCGGGAGGAAGAAUCGGCAGAAUUUCGAGCCUUUAAAAAAGGCAUUGCCCGUCAGGCACCAUCAGCUGAAGGCCCUACUCCGAGGUCCAGGGAGAACGCCGUCCGCAAUCUCUCGAGGGUCUGCUCAAUCCUAACGAACUGUGAACUUGCUAUUUUCGCAAGCCACGAAACAUGGGCUCUUCUAUCGCAGUGGUAGCUAACGAGGUUCAGAGACAACCAAACGAGAUCGGCUAGCUGUCUUCGCCGCUCUGGACUCAGGAUGUCAAAGACCGACGUGCCAUCUUCUGAUACUGUUCGGAUUUUCUCUUCCCAAUCCCGGAUGUAGUCCUUGUAGUCGUCGUCUGUGAAGAUGGUCAACAGAGCCAAGAGAACGGGCGGCGCGUCGCCUUGAAAUAGUGCUAGAGGCCCCCCAGGCCAUAGGGAAUCGAUUGUUGGUUCCCGCUGCAAUCGCUCGGCCAUCGCUUCGGUCUCAGGGACAGGCUUUGGUAGGGUUUGAGGAGGUGGUGUCCUGGCUUUAAUCUUUGGGGGCGCCAUCGGAAGCGAGCAGAAAAGAACUUGGUGUCAGUUCUGGUGUCAGUUCGGAUUGUUACGGGAGUAUUCAUUCUGCAGUGGUGUGCAACAGUCAAACAAAAAGGACUCGUUCGAAACCGUUGUCCAACAGGCUUCUUGCGAGUCCAUGCUUUCCUGUGGCAUCCUAUGCGGGGAGGCGGGUAGGGCGACUCAUAAUCCUUAGGUCGGGAGUUCGAAUCACCCCCCCCCCGCUACCAGCUUGCACUUUCGCUCACGUCAUUACUUCCUGCCUUCGCAACGCCAGUCUUGUUUCAGUUGAUUCCUCGCUAACGAACCGAUGAGGCAGUGAGGCAUGUCUUUGCACACGCAUGGUCGGUGGAUUUGGGCUGCGGUUUUGUGGACCGCGGUUCAGCUCCCUUUCGCUUCCGGUCCUUUCCGGAUUGACGAUCCCUAUCACAUGGAAGCUGCCAAGCAGAUGCGGCGAGCGCCGGGCGAUCCCUACGGGUUUCAGAUCAAUUGGGACGGUACGCCGAAGUCUGCGUUCGUGACGUACGCCAGCCCGCCGUUGGUCCCAGCGUGGUUGGCAUUUUGGAGCUGCUUUUUCCCGCAAAA